UACGUAGGGGGCAAGCGUUGUCCGGAAUCAUUGGGCGUAAAGCGCGCGUAGGCGGCUCAGUAAGUCCGUUGUAAAAGUCAAAGGCUCAACCUUUGAAAGCCGAUGGAUACUGCUGAGCUAGAGUCCGGAAGAGGCGAGUGGAAUUCCUGGUGUAGCGGUGGAAUGCGCAGAUAUCAGGAGGAACACCAACGGCGAAGGCAGCUCGCUGGGACGGUACUGACGCUAAGGCGCGAAAGCGUGGGGAGCGAACAGG
rnacentral:rRNA from 1 species